AGUGAACGCUGGCGGUAGGCCUAACACAUGCAAGUCGAACGGCAGCACAGUAAGAGCUUGCUCUUACGGGUGGCGAGUGGCGGACGGGUGAGGAAUACAUCGGAAUCUACUUUUUCGUGGGGGAUAACGUAGGGAAACUUACGCUAAUACCGCAUACGACCUACGGGUGAAAGCAGGGGAUCUUCGGACCUUGCGCGAUUGAAUGAGCCGAUGUCGGAUUAGCUAGUUGGCGGGGUAAAGGCCCACCAAGGCGAAGAUCCGUAGCUGGUCUGAGAGGAUGAGCAGCAACACUGGAACUGAGACACGGUCCAGGCUCCGACGGGAGGCAGCAGUGGGGAAGGUGGGACAAGGGGCGCAAGCCUGAUCCAGCCAUACCGCGUGGGUGAAGAAGGCCUUCGGGUUGUAAAGCCCUUUUGUUGGGAAAGAAAAGCAGCAGGUGAAUACCCCGCGGUUCUGACGUUACCCAAAGAAGAAGCACCGGCUAACUUCGUG
rnacentral:rRNA from 1 species